AUACGUAGGGGGCGAGCGUUGUCCGGAAUGAUUGGGCGUAAAGGGCGCGUAGGCGGGGCGGGUAGGAUGGAGUGAACGUCCUGCUUUCCCGGGGGGAAUUGCUUUUGCUACUGCCGCUCUUGAGUGCAGGAGAGGUUGUCGGAAUUCCUGUUGUAGCGGUGAAAUGCUUAGAGAUCGGGAGGAACACCAGUGGCGAAGGCGGGUAACUGGACUGCAACUGACGCUGAGGCGCGAAAGUGUGGGGAGCAAACAGGAUUAGAUACCCUGGUAGUCCACACUGUAAACGAUGAAUGCUAGGUGUAAGAGGUAUCGACCCCUUUUGUGCCGGAGUCAACACAAUAAGCAUUCCGCCUGGGGAGUACGGCCGCAAGGUUGAAACUCAAAUGAAUUGACGGGG
rnacentral:rRNA from 1 species